AACGUAGGACACGAGCGUUGUCCGGAAUCAUUGGGCGUAAAGCGCGUGUAGGCGGUCCGGUAAGUCCGCUGUGAAAGUCGAGGGCUCAACCCUCGAAUGCCGGUGGAUACUGUCGGGCUUGAGUACGGGAGAGGCGAGUGGAAUUCCUGGUGUAGCGGUGAAAUGCGCAGAUAUCAGGAGGAACACCAAUUGCGAAGGCAGCUCGCUGGGACGUCACUGACGCUGAGACGCGAAAGCGUGGGGAGCAAACAGG
rnacentral:rRNA from 1 species